AAAAUCUAAAAAUAUAAUUAAAAAAUAAUUUAUAUAUAUUUAUAUAUAUUGUAUUGUUAUCUGAAGAACUAUUUUAGUAAAAACUUAAAAAUAUAAAUUAUAUAAUUAAAUAUUAAUCAAAUAAAAAUUUUACUAAAAUUAUGAAUAUAGUGUACAAAUAACUUUUCAAAAAUUAUGAAAAUGUUUAAGUCCGCAUUGCGGGCAAAACACCUAGUACACCAAUAAUUAAGUAAUUUGCAAAUCUGGAAUUGUUACUGUGUACUUUCAAUAAUACCACUGUUAUCCUAUCAAUUGCUCUUUCAUUUUUUCAUUUUUUCAAUUUCCCGUCACUUUUUCUCUCUCUCUCAAACCAAAAGAAAAGCAAGUAAAAAUAAUCAGUGUUAUCGUCCAAAUCUUAAUUUCUGGAUUUAGUUCUGAUGAUCCUGAGUUUUCGUUUGUUUGGUAAAAACUUUGGCUUAGUUCUUCUUAUGUGCUUCUUCUUUUCCCGAAUCUUGAUAUUUCCUGUGAGCAUAAGGAAAUAUAUAUGUCUUUUAUGUGAUUGGAAAAGAAGAGAUCAGAGCUAAUGGUUGUGGAACUGGCGGCGAAGAACAAGGUCAGGAUUAUGGGGCUGACGGUGGCAGAGAUCGUGGAUGGUGAUGGUGAUGGUGAUGAGGUCACUUUAUGUAAUGUUUGCCAAAAUCGUGUUCAGACUGAUAAUAUUUUUAAUCUCUGAUUUUUACGUUUGAGUUAAUCUAAAAGUUAACAUAUUAUGCUCAUGACUUAUCCGAACAACCAAUAUAUUAGCCGAUCAUGCAAAGUUUUAUCAUGUGUUGUGAUUUGCUAGAGAGUUAAUUUUAUGCUUAGCCGAACAUGUAAAUUUUUAUCAUGUGUUGUAAUUGAUUAGAGAGUUAAACUUUAUGUUUAGUCGAACACAUCAAUUUGUACAUACAACAAUUCAUACCAUAUACAAGUCGAUUAGUCACUAAUAUAAAUCAUACAUAACUAUAUUUUAAAUCUAGUUUCAAUGCAAAAUAACAACCAUCAGCUGAUCAAAUAGCCGAUAAAUAUAAAACUAAAUACCAGCUAACAUGUAUAGUAUCUAGAUAAUCAAUUUAUAAUGAUACUAACUUAAAAAUGAUCCAGAUAAUUGGAAGUAUAACCGUGCUAACAUCUAACUCAUAUUAUGUAUGUUCCGUAAAUGAUCAGAUUAAUAACUCAUGUUAGCUGGUUAAGUAUCAUAUUAUCCUUGCGUUGCUAACAUACAACUCAUGUUAUGUAUGAUCCAUAAAUGACUCAGAUUAACAACUCAUGUUAGCUCACUAAUUAUCAUAUUAUUUUUGGGUGACGAUGUGGAUCUCCAUGGAGAGUGAGACGAACUGGAGAUUGUGGUGUUUGAAAAAAAAGAAUUGUUAUUGAGCGAUUGUGUCUGAUGGAUCUAAUGAUGGUGGAAUGAAGGAGAAGAAGAAGAGAAAAAAUGGGGAAAAAAAUGAUUUUGAUGGAGAGAUUGAACAAAAUAUUUUAAAAUAAAAUUUAUCAUUACAUCAAACCCAAUUCUUUCUCUUCCUAUAGAAGCCAACGAUAGGGUUUUUUUUCAGACUUUGCGGUAGGGAAUAGAAUGGGCCUCGUGAUAUUUCCCGGCCCAAAUCCUGGUUCGCAAAUUAUGUACGUAUGAUGGAUUUUGUGCGCCAAUUGCUCGUUUAAGAAUCGCCUACGUUUUGCACUACUGCAUCGACCGGGUCAACCCACAAAUUAUAUAGUCCAACAUUUAAUUUAAAAAAACUUUUGAAUUAAGCAAAGUGUAUGUGUAGAGGCUAUGUGCCACGUACAUGUAACCUUUUUUAAAAAAAUGCGAUUAGAAGUCCACGCAUGUCUUGAACGUGGUGCUGAGAUUUGCGCGGAUGCAGACGCACUAGAUUUUUUUCCAAAUAGGGUCAAUUUUACACACAGACGGUGAUUGCCUUCGUUGCAAGUCUUGAAAUCAUUCAUCGGGGGUAUGGAAUUUCUUCAGGUUAGUUAUUAGACAUUAAUUUACUCAUGUUUUCUCAAUUUACUGUUUACCCAUUAGACUUUUAAUUUUCAACUAUCAUGGAUUGGUUAACGUUCGUUAAAACAGGUUGGAAAACGAAACAUUUAAACAGUGUUGAAAAUAGUUUAGAGCUUUUAGGCGGUUUCAUUACGUAUAACUACGACUGCGGAUAAAUGGUUGUUGAAGACAUCAUAACCAUUCUUACGUGGCCCUAUGAUCUACAAUUUUAGUAUGAUAAACCCAUGUGUAUUGUGAAAAGGACACUAGUCAAAUCAUGGUCAUAUCAACAUAAGUCAUAUGUUCAAAGAUUUGUCACGAACUUGUCAACAAAAUUCAACCGUGGUAUUCGUAUAAAUAUUUAUAAUUUUUUAUAUUCAUAUAUUCAUCUUUUUUUUUUCGAUAUAAGUACCUAUCGAUCGAGUCAUACUAUGUGUACUGAAAUACAACACUUUCUUAUAUUUUGCCAUCGUUUACUACAGUUAUUACUUAUUACUUCUUCUCAACUAUUAUGAAUUAAUUGAAAAAGAAAACUACACGGGAUGGUCAUGGCUUGUUUUUAAUAAGCAUUCUUUAAACAGACCCCGAAAAUUCCUGAAGAGAAAGAUGACAAAGACUAAUACCAUAGACCUAUAAUAAGCUUUUUGAUGGAAUUUAUUCCCUAUAUACUAAUAGAAAAGAGAAAGCUUAUAAAACAAAACUGAAUUGAAAAACAUUCAAAAGUUAAUCCAAAAGAAACAUAAUAAACAAAAAGUAGACGUAUAAAGUGGGAUUCACACACGUCAAAGUUCCCAAAGCACUAAUACUCAAAUCUAAUUACAUAACGUAAGGAAUCCCUUAUUUUUUCAACACGUACUGGAAUAACUUUAACAAUAUCAAAAUAUUAUUUGAUUGGACAAAAAGUUAUAACAAACUUUAGGUUGCACGAAAAUCGUGCUUUUGAAUUAGUUUCAAAUAGUUACUAUUAGAUCUUUAGACACAAAUUACAAUGAAGGUUAAAAGUUAUAAGAUUCAAAAACAUAGACAUCAACAAAUAUAUUCGAUAUAAAUUCCUUUCAAAUUCUAUACACACAUAACUUUUGUUAAUUUGACUUCGAUCGUAACAAUUUUUAUUUACCGAUAUUAAAUUUUAGAAUAAUUUUAGAAAAUUUUGACGGUUAUCCUUUGUAAGAACGUAAUACAACUUUGUUGAAGCUCCAUCACUUGAAAACCAAUAAUAACAAUCAAACGUUUGAACUCACAAUAGAGAUGAAUUGCCAAGAAUUUCAAUCUGAAUUUCUACGAAACGAAAAAACUAUACUGCAAUAGAAAUCCACAUAUUUGACAAGAUCAUAUAUAUUAGAUCGCUAUGAUAAUAUAUUUUCUUCGUAACUAUCGCGGGUUGAACACAAUCAACAUGAACGAGAAAUUGGUUGCAAAGGACAAAUGAUACAAAGAGGGAUCCGAUGUUUUGUUUCCACGUUGUAAUGAUAUAUAAUAUCGGAAUAUAAGAUACAACAUAUCAUAUCAAUCAACUCAUUGC